AUAUAUAUAUAUAUAUAUAUAUAUAUAUAUAUAUAUAUAUAUAGUAGGGUUAGAAUAUUUUUACACGUAUCAUCCAAGUGAUACUUGUGUGUUUUUAGUCAUUGGAUCUACUUUUUUAUUACUAAUAGUCCUUGGAUCAAACACUAUUCCACCUACCACCACCUAUCACCAUCAUCUCAACCUCACAUCUCUCCAUCCAAGGGCUAAAAACACACAAGUAUCACUUGGGUGAUACUUUUACAAGUAUUCUAGCUCUACUAUAUAUAUAUAUAUAUAUAGAGGGU
rnacentral:lncRNA from 1 species